rnacentral:rRNA from 1 species
ACGAACGCUGGCGGCAUGCCUAACACAUGCCAGUCGAACGAGACCUUCGGGUCUAGUGGCGCACGGGUGCGUAACGCGUGGGAACCUGCCCUUAGGUUCGGAAUAACUCCCCGAAAGGGGUGCUAAUACCGGAUAAUGUCUUCGGACCAAAGAUUUAUCGCCUUUGGAUGGGCCCGCGUUGGAUUAGCUAGUUGGUAGGGUAAAAGCCUACCAAGGCGACGAUCCAUAGCUGGUCUGAGAGGAUGAUCAGCCACACUGGGACUGAGACACGGCCCAGACUCCUACGGGAGGCAGCAGUGGGGAAUAUUGGACAAGGGGCGAAAGCCUGAUCCAGCAAUGCCGCGUGAGUGAUGAAGGCCUUAGGGUUGUAAAGCUCUUUUACCCGGGAUGAUAAUGACAGUACCGGGAGAAUAAGCUCCGGCUAACUCCGUG